UACGUAGGGGGCAAGCGUUGUCCGGAAUCAUUGGGCGUAAAGCGCGCGUAGGCGGCCCGGUAAGUCCGUUGUGAAAGUCAAAGGCUCAACCUUUGAACGCCGAUGGAUACUGCCGGGCUAGAGUCCGGAAGAGGAGAGUGGAAUUCCUGGUGUAGCGGUGAAAUGCGCAGAUAUCAGGAAGAACACCUAUGGCGAAGGCAGCUCUCUGGGACGGUACUGACGCUGAGACGCGAAAGCGUGGGAGCGAACAGG
rnacentral:rRNA from 1 species